rnacentral:tRNA from 1 species
UCUAAUAUGACAGAUUAAUGUAAUAAACUUAAAAUUUAUAAAUAAAGAAAUUUCUUUUAUUAGAA